rnacentral:lncRNA from 1 species
UUAUAUUUAUUCAUUUAUAUUUAUUCAUUUAUGUUUAUUUUUUUAUUUUUAUUUUUUUAUUUUUUUACUUUGUCAGGACAAGGGAGUACUAACUACCAUAUUACUAAGUUUGACCAUGCUAAGCCUAAAUUAUGAUUUUUAUUUAAACUUAUUAGAAAAAUAUGUAUAUAAUAAAUAUGAACAAUUUGAAAUUAAAUAUCUGUGUAACAUUGCUUACUCCAUUGCUUUAUGGCUAGCCAAUCAACCAGUACAACAUAAACACAUAACUAUAACUACUGACAAAAACAUAAACGAUGAUAAACUACAACAUAAUAGUAAAGAAUUGUUAAUUACCAUGUUAAACGAUAUCGUAUCUUUGCUAUUAAAAAAUAUGCAUAAACUCAAAAACGAGGAGUUAAAACAGGUACACAUAGCGUUGUAUUAUUUAAAUGUUAUCGGAAUGAGAUACGAAAAUAAUAUUAAAACAAUAGAAAAAAAAAAUAUUAAAAAUAAUAUAACUACAUCAAGAAUGCAAGACCAAAUAGAAAAAAUAUUUAAAGAAUUGGGUGUAAAAGUAGAAAAAGAAAUACCUGUUGGACCAUAUAUGCUGGAUUUUGCUUUAAAGAAAAGAAAAAUUUGUAUAGAAAUUAAUGGAUUUACCCAUUACUACACAUCUAAUGGGAAAAUAAAUGCUAAAACCAACUUGAAGUAUUUUAUUCUUAACAAACUUAAUUGGAAAGUUGUUACUAUCGAGUACAUGGAUUGGAAGAACAAAAAAAAAGAAGAAAAAAUAAAAUAUAUAGAAACAAAUGUACUGGACAAAAUAAAAUGAUAAAAAUUAGUUAAGUUUUUCACAUUUAUGAUUUGAUUUAUAAACAGCGAAUCGUUAUGUAAUAAAAAAGUACAAGCACGUGUAAACA